CAGCUGGGUUAUCAGUGAAUACAGCUCUGCUCACCCUGGAAAGGACUGCGGGAAAACAGCAGUCCCUUUUAAGGACUUCUGCUCGUUACACAGAGGCUAUUGAAGCACUCAAAGACCCUCAACAAUCAAAAUUAAAAGAUAGUGGUCAGAGGACUACUGGUGAGGAGAGACCCCUAACUGGAUAAAAAGGACUCAAAAGAACUACAGUUCUCAGAGGACUACAUGGUUCUGAGAACACAUGGUUUGGCUCUAGAAGCUGGAAGGAGAGUGGCAAUCAAAAGACU